GGAGGAAAAGAAACCAACAGGGAUUGCCUUAGUAACGGCGAGUGAAGCGGCAACAGCUCAAAUUUGAAAGCUGGCCCCCUCGGGGUCCGCGUUGUAAUUUGUAGAGGAUGAUUCGGCGACGGCUCCCGCCUAAGUCCCUUGGAACAGGGCGUCAUAGAGGGUGAGAAUCCCGUAUGUGGUGGGCUGCCUUAGCCAUGUGAAUCUCCUUCGACGAGUCGAGUUGUUUGGGAAUGCAGCUCUAAAUGGGAGGUAAAUUUCUUCUAAAGCUAAAUACCGGCCAGAGACCGAUAGCGCACAAGUAGAGUGAUCGAAAGAUGAAAAGCACUUUGGAAAGAGAGUUAAAAAGUACGUGAAAUUGUUGAAAGGGAAGCGCUUGCAGCCAGACUUGUCCGCAGUUGCUCAGCUUGUCUCCUGACAGGCGUACUCUUCUGCGGCCAGGCCAGCAUCAGUUCGGGCGGUCGGAUAAAGACCUGGGGAAUGUAGCUCCUCUCGGGGAGUGUUAUAGCCCUGGGUGCAAUGCGGCCAGCCUGGACUGAGGAUCUCGCUUCGGCUAGGAUGCUGGCGUAAUGGCUGUAAGCGGCCCGU
rnacentral:sRNA from 1 species